rnacentral:lncRNA from 1 species
UCAGUGAUACUAAGGUCCAACUUUUUCAUAGUUCUUACAGAUAUUAUAUUUAACCCACUACUUCCAUUCACAAUCAUAUAGGGAAUGAUCUUAUCAACUAUUGAUAUUUCUAAUUCUAUUGCCUUAACCUCUUGUGCUCCUUGGAUUAUUCUUACAUGAGUUUGGAUUUUUUUUUAGAUACUUGUUAUUUUUUAAUAGGCAUACUUGUUUUAAAAACCCCUC